AGCUACUUAGCACUGCAUAGUGAACAAUCCCAAAUUUAAUAUGUCAAGGUAGUCCAGCUUCUCAGACAUACAGCUUGAGUAAUUAUGGUGAAAGUGAGCCAGAAGUGUUUUCUAGUAAUCUCUAGGACUUCUUCUUGCUCAAGAAUUCUACAAUGCUGUAUAGGAAGGAAGUCAGG